GUAAGGUCUGCUAGCUGACCCCCAUUACCAGAAGAGGGAACAGGACAUGACACUAAUGACUGUCAGGUCCAGGUCAUUGUGACUGUUUGUCCCCACGGCCCCUCUGACAGCUACGCUAAAACAACCAAGCAGGCGCCGGGCAGGCAGGAAGCCACAGGUGGAGCUGAAGAUGAAGUAUAAUGACCAGCACUGUAAAGCCAGGGGUCUGCUGUCAGGCUCCCACUGGUAUGAGAUCCAGGCCUACAGAGCCCUCAACCAAGCCCUGGUCAGGUGUAUUAGAUGACUGGGGAGCCCUCAUUCUGGCAGACAACCGGUUUGGGAUCAACCCCAACAAAUACAUCUCAGGUCUGUACAAGUGGGUGCAUAACCUUUUCAGGCACCACAACGCCUUCAUCUGUGCUAUGCAGUCGCUGAUGACCUUCUCCAGGUGCCAACAGGGGGCAGGAGAGACACAUGGAGCAGGGAGCCAGAUGUUCAACAGCACCACCAUCCUGUUCAGCCAGUCAAUCUCUAGUGACUGUGGAAGAUCUGUCCCACUGUCGGCCCAGUCCUAGCCCCAGCUCAGACAGCCUUCUCUGGGCCACGAUGCACCACACUACCACCUCUCAGGUGACCAGAAGCAGACAUAGCAACACCCCUCCGCUCAUCUGAAGAGUGAUCCCAAGGCCCCUCCCCCACUGUCUCCACCACCCACGGCCCCUGCACCACCUCCACCCCUGUGAGCUCCACCCACUUCAAGACACCCCCAUCUUCCGGGACCCAGGCCGGCGUUGUGGUCCUCUGGCCGUCCCGCCUCGGCCUGACUAUGGGGAGGGGGAGAAGGAGAACCAGGAGAAUGUAAGUCUGGAUCCCCUGCCCAGGAAGGAAGGCCCGUAAGGGGAUGGAUGGACCGGCAGCUACCCCUCCCAGCCAGGACCAGAGCCCAGACGAUCCCACCCUGCUAGAGGAGGACCAGAGCAUCUUCACACCUGAGAUGUUUGAUGAUGAAGAGGAUGUGGACCAAGCCUCUCCCCAGGACAGUACAUUGGACGAUGACAGGGGAGGGAACUGUGCUUGCGGCCAGCCUUGCUCUAACUACCGGAACAGCCCAGGCUGUGUCUGAGGACCUGUUUGGCCCAGAGCAGGGGCACAGGAACGGUCAUUACCACUGAUACCGAGGGGUGGCGCUCUUGCUCCCUCAGCUAGUAGAGACUGUCAGUGUGAUAUGGGAACAGGACAGGCAGCGAGAGUGGUGACAAGGCCCAACAGCAAGAGACCCAGAGAAAGGAGGACCAAGGUCAGGGAGAAGGACAGGAGGUGAACCAGACCCAGGCGCAGGGUCAGACCCAGGGGGGACCCAGAACAGGCAGACAGGCAGCAGGACACGCAGGCUUUCCAGGUCCAGACAGAAAGCAUCCUAAACUAACCAGCUAAUUCUCUGUUGUCCCUCAGGUUAUAUCCAUAGAUGACUAGACACCAGUUUAUAACUGUAGAUGACUAGGCACAAGGGCCUGUAUUCAGAGGCUCAGUAGGAGUGCUGAUCUAGAAUCAGCGCUUCUUUUUAAAUCAUUAUUAAAAUUAUAUGGACAGGGAGACAUGAUCCUAGAACAGCAUUGGAACUGAAACUCUUUAUAAACAUGGGCCCAGGUUCCAGGUUAUAACCAUAGACUAUAGACAAUUAGACAGACACCAAGACGCUCAGUAAAGCCAGUUCUCAGAUCAUCAUGUCUCAUUAUCUAGCGUGACAGCAUGGCUGGGUCAUCUCGUCUGACCGACAUUAUCUGUUUAAACAGUCUGGAGCUAACGAACGUUGCACAAAUUGCGAUGUUAACGUGCAGUCUUCUAUUUUUGUCUUAUAUUUACACAUCAUUAAAAUGCAAGAAGAAAUGCGUCUUUAUUUUCCUGUAAACGCGAUGGAAGCAUUGUCCCGUUAUGUGUUUUAAUGAGAUGUGUUAUUUGGAGUGAGGAGAGGAGUGGGGGGAGGCAGCAUGUCUGACUUCACACAGAUAGAACUCUUCUGUUUUUACCCCAAAAUUACUGUACAAUCCUAUGAUAAAGUAAUUGUCUGAUGUAAGCUAGAGGGGGGAGGUGUGGUGUGGGAUGUGUAUCGUGUGUUUAAUGACUUGGGGAAACACAAAGGCCUUUCCAGUAACACAAGAAACCUCAGAAACCCCAUCAUCCAUUUUGAGAACAGCUCCAGGGUGACUAUAUAUCAGUAAAUAUAAAUAAUUGUGAUAUGGAAAAUUGAUUAAUGAAAUCAUGUUUGCUGGUUUUGGUUUGUGUUGUCAAGUUGAUGUGGAAGAGUGCAGAUGGGUAGAUUGAACUCUCAAUAAAGCACCUUGUAUUGGCAAGGUGUACAGUGCUUUGUUUCCCCCCUCAUCUAUCUACACACAAUAUCCAAUAAUGGCAAAGCAAAAACUAUUUUUUAGAAAUGUUUGCAAAAGUAUUACAAAAUAAAUAUGGAA